CAGCCCGGUAAUUCCAGCUCCAAUAGCGUAUAUUAAAGUUGUUGCAGUUAAAAAGCUCGUAGUUGAAUUUCGGGAUCAAUUUAUUGGUCGUGCUAUUGUACGUACUGGUAUUAUUGAUUUCUACCUUCUGACGAACCAUGAUGUCAUUAAUUUGGUGUCUUGGGGAAUCAGGACUGUUACUUUGAAAAAAUUAGAGUGUUUAAAGCAGGCUCACGCUUGAAUACAUUAGCAUGGAAUAACGAAAUAGGACGUUUGAUUCUAUUUUGUUGGUUUCUAGGAUCGACGUAAUGAUUAAUAGGGAUAGUUGGGGGCAUUAGUAUUCAAUUGUCAGAGGUGAAAUUCUUGGAUUUAUUGAAGACUAACUACUGCGAAAGCAUUUGCCAAGGAUGUUUUCAUUAAUCAAGAACGAAAGUUAGGGGAUCGAAGACGAUCAGAUACCGUCGUAGUCUUAACCAUAAACUAUGCCGACUAGGGAUCGGAUGAUGUUAAUUUUUUAAUGACUCAUUCGGCGCCUUACG
rnacentral:misc_RNA from 1 species